CAAAGCUCCUACAUCCAAAGCCUCCAAGAAAAACAGAAUUGGUCUCAAGCUAUGGAAGAGCUCAACAAGGAUUCUGAAAAGAGAGAUAGAAGGAAAAAUGGGAACAGAGAAAGAUCUUUGAUGGACUACAGUGUUUCCAUUGGAGAGGGUCUCAUUAUGCACAGCUACACUGGGAAGGGGCUCAAACUUCGAAUGCACCCUGCUGCACUUUGCUAACAAGGAAAAGGACACAGAGAGAACAAAUUAGAAUUCAAUACCUGUGACUCAUCAUGGCCAACUUUAUUUACAGCUGGAGAAAAAAGGAGGAAAGCACCAGAAUUCAGGAUCAAGUCUUCUGCUUGACUAUACCAUAUGAGAAGUUU